UGCGGAAUUUUAGAUAAUGGAGGGAACUCUGAUCUAGCGACGCCGCGUGCAGGAAGAAGGUCUUCGGAUUGUAAACUGCUGUGGUAAGGGAAAAAUGCUAUGUAGAGUGGAAAGCUACAUAGAGGGAUGGUACCUUACUAGAAAGCCCCGGCUAACUACGUG
rnacentral:rRNA from 2 species